CUGUAGCAAUAUUCCUUUCCUUUGGAGAAUCCUUCCAAAUCUUGUGUGAUCCUGGUGGAAAGGUAUGUCAUAGCAGCCAACCUCAUCUCUGCCAAGGGAUUUUAUUUGUCAGACAGCGAGAGAGAGGAAGAGCACAAGCAGAAGGAGUCACAGGCAGAGGGAGAAGCAGACUCCCUGCUGAGCAGGGAACCCAAUGUAGGACUCAGUCCCAGGACCCUGAGAUCAUGAACUGAGCUGAAGAGCGAGAUCACAAGUAGGCAGAGAGAGAGGAGGAAGCAGUCUCCCUGCCAAGCAGAGAGCCCAAUGCGGAACUUGAUCCCAGGACCCUGAGAUUAUGACCUGAGCUGAAGGCAGAGGCUUACCCCACUGAGCCACCCAGGAACCCAUGGCUAAGGUUUUGAUUGGGAUUGUGUUGACUCUAUCGAUAGGCUGGGAAGAACUGACAUGUUGACAAUAUUGAGGCUACCUGUCCAUGAACAGGAAACAUCUCUUCAUUUAUUUCGAUCUUUGAUUUCUUUCAUCAGGGUUUUAUAGUUGUAUAUAUCUAGAACGUGAACAUAGUUUGUUAGAUUUAUACUUCAGUAUUUCUUUUGGUGCUAAUGUAGAUGGCAUUGUGUUUUGAUUUCUGAUUCGCUGCUGACAUAUAAGAAAGCAAUUGGCUAUCAUAUAUUAACUUGUGUCCUAACAUCCUGUUAUCAUCACGAAUUAGUUCUAGGAUUUUUAUAAAAAUUAUUCUUUGGGAUUUUCAAUAUAGAUAAUGACUUAGUAUCUUUCAAAGCUUUUACAUAUGUGUGUAUAAUGAUAUGAAUUCGUGGAUCUAAAUGCCUUAAUCUGGGUCAAUCUCUUGCGAUUAUUAUUUUUAUCAAUAUAUAAUUAUCUCAUACUGGGUCAGUGGAAGUCUCUGCAGGCUGAUUCCUCAGUCCUUCCGACAGGCCACUAGUAGUCUUGGAUUGCUUCACUGUUCUCUGGUAUGGUAAGAUGUUCCAGGUUAGUCUUUCACAUUUCUUGCGCCAGACCUGUAAUCAGUUUACCCUUCAAGGAGACCUGACUGACUGGUAGUCCAGAUGGACGACCACACCGUCUUUUAGUCUAUUUCUCAAAUUCCACUCAGCUUGCCUUUAUUCCGUUCUCCAUAUAAAAGUAAGGAUGAUUUUAAAAUCACACCCAGAACUGUAACUCCCAAAUACUAUUUCCCAGUAAAACGUCCUCUGGAGAAAAGACAGACUCGAGAACAGCUUUCCAGUUUGGGGUGAAGACUGGUGGGGGGCUAUCAAUAUCAGAAUAAUGAACCUUCUGAGGAAGAUCUGAAGUGGGAUAUUAAAUCCCUGCUUCAGAAUGUCAGAGGUCUAAAUUUCAAAGAUAUAGUAUAAACAAUGUUUCCGCAACCCUCAUGCCCUUAGUAACUGUUUACAUUACUUUGUAUAUACUUUUCCAGUCCUUGUUGACUAAGUCUACAGUUUAAAAGUUGCAAGCAAUGUAUUCAUUCUGCUUUCUCGCCUGCAUCUUUCCAUGUAGAUAAUCACUUGAAAAAAUAUUUAAUCAUGCUAACUUACACAAAUUGACUUACUUUCUUAUUUUGGGUACGUUGCUUCUGAUUUUUUUUUUAUUAUUGUGUGUCAGUUAAGACUUUGGUUAUAAGCAACAAAAAAGUGAUUCAAAUUACUUUAAGUUAAAAGGAUAAUUUAUUACAAAGACAGAGGGGCGUGUCACAGAGUCAAAGGGUAGAAAUGCAGUUUGGGCGUCUGGAAGGAGCCAGAAAGUUGACAGUCCAUUCUUUGUUUAUCUCUGUUUUUCUUGGUGAAUCUGCUUCAUUCUUCUUUCCUUUACCCUGAUUAGAGUUACCUCAUAGUUUAUUGUGUCACUCUGACCACAUACAGAGAUUAACCUGCAAUUUUCCCAUCCCAGUUCCACAUCCUGGUGUGCAUUAGAUCCAGCCCUGGUUGAGUUGGAGACCAUAGGGGGAUUGCCCAUUACAAACAUGGAUGCCAGGGCCCCAUCUCUGGGGAACAGAGCGGGGAAGAGGCUCCUACAGAAGAGGGGCUAGCUCACGGGCUGGUCUGACCCCUAAAAGACAUCACUACAAUUUGAAUAGCACCGCUAUGAACAAGUUUGUGGAAGUUACUUUUGUUCUUUGUCCUUGGAGUAUGUUCUUCAGAGGAGAAUUAGUGGGUCUCAGAGUAGGAACAGUUCAUGACUUAUCCUUAGACAAUGUGAACUGGGCCACGCUGACGACAGGAGAGGAAAUAGGGGUGUUAGGAAAUACUGGUCUGGCAACUCUCAAGAGACUCUUCCUUAUCUCCGUGAUAUGCCUUUUAAGUCAUUGCCUGUUCCACCCUCAGAAAGCACUAGACUGAACACACUCUCUUCACAUUCCUUCGGCUUUUUGUCUUUUGUCCCUUCAGGAGUAUUUUUUGAGCAGAAGCUAUGAGAGGACAAUAAAAUCCAAUGCUCCUGGAGUAACAUCACAUUCUUAAAGGGAGUUACGAACUUGCAAAUUAAUUUCUUCUCACAAGUAAAUACCCCACAUUCUUUCUCCUUUCUCUUGGUUCCCUUUUCCAAUCCCUUUCACAUUUUUCUGGCCCUUGCCACCCUCGUCUCCUUUCUCCCCUCAGACUGAAGAUCUGAACCAUGUCCCUCCAGCAUGAAGUGCUGAAAAAAACCCCACAACCUAAGAGAUUAGUUGCUCAAGUAAAUGAUCACUUUCAAGGAUACUGACUACCUGAGUACUUUACAUUUGCCACAUUUGAAACAAAGUUACAUUAUUCUUUUUUAGGUGAGGCCAGAAUUUUAAUGUAUCUUUGGAUUCCUUAAUUCACAAAGUUGUGAACCACAUAGGCAGGAAGCCGGGGGCGGGGAGGUGGAUAGGCUAGAGAGAACCAGGACAGAGGAUGUCCCAGGUCAACACUGUUCUGGUUGAUCGGCAAAAACCACAUACAGGAGGGAAGGGAGUGAGGUCAGCCAGUAAGAUGGGAGGCAAGUCACUGACCUGGAGGCAAUGAUGAAGUGUGGCCCGGAGCAGGGAAGCUAGCUAUAGAAACUAAAGGUUCUGGUGGGCAAGAAGGCAAGAUAAACUUGGAGCCCAAGCAACCAGAUAGAGGGUCCAAGGCAUGGACAAAAAAAACAAAAAACAAAAAAACAAAAAACCAUGUCCAGCUCUAGGGGAUACCCAGAGAUGUUUGUCUCUAUACAUCAGCAUUGAGAGAAGUAUUUGCCAUAUGUUUUCAAAACAUUUUAAUUCCCCCAAAUUGCCUUUUUUCUUCAUUUUAUUGCAAUGUUUCCGUAUUGCUUAUUUAAAAUGGUACCAUUCACAAUGGUGCUGUCAGAACAAGUCUCUUGGUUCUAAGUCAGAAGUAUCAUCCUCUGUCUUAUUUUUAAGUGCAAGUGACAAAUGUUGGCACUGCCUGGCAGGUGUGUUCUCGUCCACAGUAAGAUGGCACUUUGCAGAUGUCACUGGCUGGGACAGCCCACGCAAGGGGCGUGACCGCUGGAGGAUCCCUCUGUUCCUAAAGGAGUUCUUCCAUAGGUACAAUGGGACAGAUAGAGAUCACAAGAAGGCAGAGAGGCAGGCAGAGAGAGAGAGGAGGAAGCAGGCUCCCUGCUGAGCAGAAAGCCCUAUGUGGGGCUCGAUCCCAGGACCCUGAGAGGAUGACCUGAGCCGAAGGCAGAGACUUAACCCACUGAGCCACCCAGGUGCCCCUAAACAUCAUUUUCGAAUGAAGGAUCCUGCAGGACAUUUUACAUUUUGCUUGAUGUUUGGACUUGCACUGUCAGUGGGAUUUUAAUUUGUAAACUAAACUUUAUACACUGUUUGAUUAAACAGGCAUUUUAAAGCACCA